rnacentral:tRNA from 3 species
GGGCAGGUGGCGAAAUUGGUAGCCGCGCAGUGUUCAGAACGCUGUGAGGAAACUCUUGGAGGUUCGAGUCCUCUCCUGCCCA